rnacentral:rRNA from 1 species
UACGGGGGGGGCAAGCGUUGUUCGGAAUUACUGGGCGUAAAGGGCUCGUAGGCGGCCAACUAAGUCGGAUGUGAAAUCCCCAGGCUUAACCUGGGAAUUGCAUCCGAUACUGGAUGGCUUGAAUCCGGGAGAGGGAUGCGGAAUUCCAGGUGUAGCGGUGAAAUGCGUAGAUAUCUGGAGGAAGACCGGUGGCGAAGGCGGCCUGCUGGGCAGAUACUGACACUGAGGCGCGACAGCGUGGGGAGCAAACAGG